rnacentral:rRNA from 1 species
CCUACGGGUGGCAGCAGUGAGGAAUAUUGGUCAAUGGACGCAAGUCUGAACCAGCCAUGCCGCGUGCAGGAAGACGGCUCUAUGAGUUGUAAACUGCUUUUGUACGAGGGUAAACGCAGAUACGUGUAUCUGUCUGAAAGUAUCGUACGAAUAAGGAUCGGCCAACUCCGUGCCAGCAGCCGCGGUAAUACGGAGGAUUCAAGCGUUAUCCGGAUUUAUUGGGUUUAAAGGGUGCGUAGGCGGUCGGAUAAGUUAGAGGUGAAAUCCCGAGGCUCAACUUCGGAAUUGCCUCUGAUACUGUGCGGCUAGAGAGUAGUAGAGGUAGGCGGAAUGUAUGGUGUAGCGGUGAAAUGCUUAGAGAUCAGACAGAACACCGAUUGCGAAGGCAGCUUACCAGGCUACUACUGACGUUGAGGCACGAAAGCGUGGGGAGCAAACAGGAUUAGAUACCCUGGUAGUC